AUUGAACGCUGGCGGCAGGCCUAACACAUGCAAGUCGAACGGUAGCACAGAGAGCUUGCUCUCGGGUGACGAGUGGCGGACGGGUGAGUAAUGCCUGGGAAACUGCCCGAUGGAGGGGGAUAACUACUGGAAACGGUAGCUAAUACCGCAUAACGUCGCAAGACCAAAGUGGGGGACCUUCGGGCCUCACACCAUCGGAUGUGCCCAGAUGGGAUUAGCUGGUAGGUGGGGUAAUGGCUCACCUAGGCGACGAUCCCUAGCUGGUCUGAGAGGAUGAACAGCCAACAUGGAACUGAGACACGGUCCAGACUCCUACGGGGGGCAGCAGUGGGGAAUAUUGCACAAUGGGCGCAAGCCUGAUGCAGCCAUGCCGCGUGUAUGAAGAAGGCCUUCGGGUUGUAAAGUACUUUCAGCGGGGAGGAAGGCGGUGAAGUUAAUAACUUCACCGAUUGACGUUACCCGCAGAAGAAGCACCGGCUAACCCCGUGCCAGCAGCCGCGGUAA
rnacentral:rRNA from 1 species